UACGAAGGGGGCUAGCGUUGCUCGGAAUCACUGGGCGUAAAGGGUGCGUAGGCGGGUCUUUAAGUCAGGGGUGAAAUCCUGGAGCUCAACUCCAGAACUGCCUUUGAUACUGAAGAUCUUGAGUUCGGGAGAGGUGAGUGGAACUGCGAGUGUAGAGGUGAAAUUCGUAGAUAUUCGCAAGAACACCCGUGGCGAAGGCGGCUCUCUGGAACGCAACUGACGCUGAGACGCGAAAGCGUGGGGAGCAAACAAG
rnacentral:rRNA from 1 species